GGGGAAUAUUGCACAAUGGGCGCAAGCCUGAUGCAGCCAUGCCGCGUGUAUGAAGAAGGCCUUCGGGUUGUAAAGUACUUUCAGCGGGGAGGAAGGCGAUGGGGUUAAUAACCUUAUCGAUUGACGUUACCCGCAGAAGAAGCACCGGCUAACUCCGUG
rnacentral:rRNA from 1 species